rnacentral:rRNA from 1 species
UGCGAGUCACGUAGCAAUACGUGGCAUACGGCUCAGUAACACGUAGUCAACAUGCCCAGGGGACGUGGAUAACCUCGGGAAACUGAGGAUAAACCGCGAUAGGCCAUAAUGUCUGGAAUGACUUAUGGCUCAAAUCUACAUGGCCCCUGGAUUGGACUGCGGCCGAUCAGGCUGUUGGUGAGGUAAUGGCCCACCAAACCUAAAACCGGUACGGGCUCUGAGAGGAGAAGCCCGGAGAUGGGCACUGAGACAAGGGCCCAGGCCCUAUGGGGCGCAGCAGGCGCGAAACCUCUGCAAUAAGCGAAAGCUUGACAGGGUUAUUCUGAGUGAUUUCCGCUAAGGAAGUCUUUUGGCACCUCUAAAAAUGGUGCAGAAUAAGGGGUGGGCAAGCCUGGUGUCAGCCGCCGCGGUAAUACCAGCACCCCGAGUGGUCGGGACGAUUAUUGGGCCUAAAGCAUCCGUAGCCGGUUCUACAAGUCUUCCGUUAAAUCCAACUGCUUAACAGUUGGGCUGCAGAGGAUACUAUAGAGCUAGGAGGCGGGAGAGGCAAGCGGUACUUAGUGGGUAGGGGUAAAAUCCGUUGAUCCACUGAAGACCACCAGUGGCGAAGGCGGCUUGCCAGAACGCGCUCGACGGUGAGGGAUGAAAGCUGGGGGGAGCAAACCGGAUUAGAUACCCGGGUAGUCCCAGCUGUAAACGAUGCAGACUCGGUGAUGAAUAGGCUUCGUGCCUAUUCAGUGCCGCAGGGAAGCCGUUAAGUCUGCCGCCUGGGGAGUACGGUCGCAAGACUGAAACUUAA